ACUUCAAUUGAUAAUAAUCAUACUUUGUCCAAUUGAUAAUAAUCAUACUUUGUCUGGCAUGUUAAUCACAACACGGUCUCAAGAGUAGGGUGUGGUCAUAUUUGUGGCAUGGUUGAUCGUUUGGAAUAUUCGGUCGAUGAUUGACGGGACGGUCAUACGGUAUACAAGUCUCCCAAGUGUGAGCUUAUCACGAUAAAUGAAGAGGUUUGUGAUGGAGCCUGCUGCAUUCGGGGGGUGCUAUGGUCUUUAUGGCCACUCGUAUGACUAGUCAGAACCGCUCAGUGUGGUUCAUAAGAAUAUAAUUGUUGAUGGGAGAGUUAUAACCGUUGGGAUAAAGAAACGAAGAGUCGCAUGUUGUGGAUCGUCAGUCCGGCUCGAUCCGAUGAUUGAGGAUGGCCGGUUAUGAUAUCCCUUUUAUUAUAAAUAGUAAUAAUGUUGGUCGUCUACGUGUCUUCGUCUGGAGAAAGGGAAAGUCGAGAGUAUGCAAAUGACGCUUCUUCUUCGUGAUCGGUGUCAACCGAGUGAGAUGCAAAGGUGGUGACGAGGUGACCACUGUAAAUAGGAAUAAAGGUCGUAUCUUAGGGUGACGAGAAUGUCAUUGUGGAAAUAAAAGUUGACGCAACAAAAGAGUAAGAUGGUUUGUUGGAGUCAUGAGUGUCCAUUCCAAGUUAUGAUUGGACACCCCCAUGAAAUUGAAGAAUACAUGUCUUGUUUCAAUACAGGACACUCGGUUCGUUAUAACAAUAAUUUAAUGAUUUUUUUAUAUUUAAAUCAAUAUUAAUAUUGUUUAGAA